rnacentral:ncRNA from 2 species
AACUAGCGCCAGAACCAUAAUGGUUGACGAGGAAAGUAGUUAUCGAAAAUUCGGCGGAUGCUGCUUUGGGUUUAUAUGCUCAUAAGAUUAUUAUUAAAAAACAAAAUCAACAUUGUAACAAAGUAAUAAUUACAUA